UACAGAGGUCUCAAGCGUUGUUCGGAUUCACUGGGCGUAAAGGGCGCGUAGGCGGCUUUGUCAGUCGGGGGUGAAAGCCUGUGGCUCAACCACAGAAUGGCCUUCGAUACUGCGAGGCUUGAGACCGGGAGAGGUGAGUGGAACUGCGAGUGGAGAGGUGAAAUUCGUAGAUAUUCGCAAGAACACCCGUGGCUAAGGCGGCUCUCUAGUACGGUACUGACGCUGAGACGCGAAAGCGUGGGGAGCGAACAGG
rnacentral:rRNA from 1 species